rnacentral:miRNA from 1 species
CUCCUCUUCCUCUUCCUCUUCCUCUUCCUCUUCCUCUUCCUCUUCCUCUUCCUCUUCUUUGUCCUCUUCCUAUUCCUCUUCUAGAAAGUAAUAGUUUCUAGAAGCACUUAACCUAGGGACUACAAGCUCAUUUCUGCUUUCACUGUUUGAACAUUUCCUGGUCUUAGAUUUUGACUGAUAUCACACCUGCUAUAAGUUCUUAUGUGGA